CCAGAUAGUUGGAUUGUCGCUAUUAAAAAUUUAAUAGAGGAAAGUCCGGGCUCCAUAAAGACACAGUGCCAGUUAAUGGCUGGCGAAGGUGACUUCAGGGAUAGUGCCACAGAAAAUAAACCGCCUUAUCAAGGCAAGGGUGAAACGGCGAGGUAAGAGCUCACCGGUUUUUUGGUAACAAAAAACGCACGGCAAACCCCACUGGGAGCAAGGUUAAAUAGAAAGGACGUUGUGUGCAAACACUAAAAAUAGUCUUUAAUUGGUCCUUUGGGUUAACCGCUUGAGCUUAAGCGUGAGUUUAAGCCUAGAGAAAUGACAUCUUUAAUGACAGAACCCGGCUUAUAGAUUAUCUGGCAAA
rnacentral:RNase_P_RNA from 1 species